ensembl:lncRNA
GGACGGGGAAAAAAGGAAAAGGAGAUUUGGCUUUUCAGCUUCGGAUGUUUGGAGCUGCACAGGAAGUGAGCGAGGAAAAGAAGACGACUGGAGGUUUAACGUUCAUGCUCUAGAAAAGUGAGAGCCGUGAAAUAGACAGAUCUGUGUGUGUGGAGUGCAGCGCUGAGUGCAGUGAGUGUACGCACCUCUACUUAAAAAUCAACAACAACACAUUAGGAGAUUGUUUUUGACUCGUAUGCUUCUCGGAAUAUUGAGAAGGAUUUGAGGAGAAUAUUAUUAGAACGGUAUGCUUCAAGGAACUUUUAGGAGAAAUUUAUAAGGAUGUUUGAUGAUUGUCAUGGUUCUCGGUACUUUUAGGAGAACUUCAGUAAAGCGUUUUCUGUACCGUGUGGUUCUCGGUACUUUUAGGAGAACUUCAGUAGAGUGUUUUCUGUACAGUAUGGUUCUCGGUACUUUUAGGAGAACUUCAGUAGAGCGUUUUCUGUACCGUGUGGUUCUCGGUACUUUUAUGAGAAUUUCAGUAGAGUGUUUUCUGUACGGUGUGGUUCUCGGUACUUUUAUGAGAAUUUCAGUAGAGUGUUUUCUGUACGGUGUGGUUCUCGGUACUUUUAGGAGAACUUCAGUAGAGUGUUUUCUGUACGGUGUGGUUCUCGGUACUUUUAGGAGAACUUCAGUAGAGCGUUUUCUGUACCGUGUGGUUCUCGGUACUUUUAGGAGAACUUCAGUAGAGUGUUUUCUGUACCGUGUGGUUCUCGGUACUUUUAGGAGAACUUCAGUAGAGCGUUUUCUGUACGGUGUGGUUCUCGGUACUUUUAGGAGAACUUCAGUAGAGUGUUUUCUGUACAGUAUGGUUCUCGGUACUUUUAGGAGAACUUCAGUAGAGCGUUUUCUGUACCGUGUGGUUCUCGGUACUUUUAGGAGAACUUCAGUAGAGCGUUUUCUGUACAGUAUGGUUCUCGGUACUUUUAGGAGAACUUCAGUAGAGUGUUUUCUGUACGGUGUGGUUCUCGGUACUUUUAGGAGAACUUCUGUAGAGUGUUUUCUGUACGGUGUGGUUCUCGGUACUUUUAUGAGAACUUCAACAGAGCAUUUUCUGUAUGGUGUGGUUCUCGGUACUUUUAGGAGAACUUCAGUAGAGUGUUUUCUGUACCGUGUGGUUCUCGGUACUUUUAGGAGAACUUCAGUAGAGUGUUUUCUGUACCUUGUGGUUCUCGGUACUUUUAUGAGAAUUUGAGAAGGUGGUUGUCUGAACAUCAUGGUUUUAGGAACGUUUAGCAGAGCUUUGAGGGAAGGUUUUCUGAACGCUAUGGUUCUAGGAUCUUUUAGGAGAAAUUUAGUAGAGCCUUUUUAAAGAACAGUACGGUUCUGGGAAAUUUUAGUACAAUUAUACGAGAAUGUUUUCCGAACAUCAUGGUUGUAGAAAUUGUUGGUAGAAUUUGAGGGAAUGCAUCUCGGUUGCUAGGUAACAGACACAACAAAUGAUUACAGACUAGUUUAGAUGGGAUAAGUAAGGAAUGAAAAACAAAGCAAUGAUGGACUGAAGAGUUUUAUUUCUCUUGUCCCGUAGCACUUUGCCAAUGAGUAAUUAAAUUAAUGAACAAUUAAAAAAGUAAAUUUGCGGCGAAUGUGCUGCUGAUUAACUUCAUCAUCAAAACCUCUUUCAGGCGGAUGAUUUAUUUUUUCCUUCCACCUGAAAAGUGUUCCAGCAGCAAAGGCCUUGGUCUGAGUGAUGUACUCCUGAUUUAUCAUUCAGCACACAAAAGGUUCUUAUUUUCAUGGUCAGGACACAAGGACAAGGUUUUCUUGAUAUUUUCAUGAACAUAGAAUGAAUACAUUAUCAAGAGUUUUGGCGAGGAGUAUUGUAGCAGAACGUUUUCUGAACCGUACGGUUCUAGUAGCUUUUAGAAGAACCUUUUCUGAACAUUGUGGUUCCAGGAACUUUUAGAGAACUUUUUUCUGAACUUCAUGGUGGCUAGAUGUUUGAUCUCCAAUCAAAUCAGCUCCCCUCAUUCACUGUAAAAAAGUUUAAUUUUUAAAAGUGAGAAAAUUUUACAUCGUCAGAUUAAAUGUUUGAAUUAAAUUUCAUUUAAGGAAUGAAAACGUGCUUUAAAGACAUUCGCGAAAAAUCUCAAUAAAAAAAUAAACAGAAUAAGAGAUUAAACCAUCUUCAUUCAACCUGCUAGUGGUUUCCAGCUGCUAGCGCCGAAGUCAAGAACUCCGCUGUCACAUCCACGAGCAGGACUAGCUGAGAUUGAGUCGAGACCGAGUCAAGACCGAGACCGAGUCGAGACCGAGUCAAGACCGAGACCGAACCGAGACCGAGUCAAGACCGAGACCGAACCGAGACCGAGUCAAGACCGAGACCGAGUCAAGACCGAGACCGAGACCGAGUCAAGACCGAGACCGAGCCGAGACCGAGACCGAGACCGAGUCAAGACCGAGACCGAGUCGAGACCAAGUCAAGACCGAGACCGAGACCGAGUCAAGACCGAGACCGAAAAGCAUCAACUCCUUUACUUCAACUAGUCACCUUCAUUCAUGCAUUGUUCCAGUAAAUAGACUGUUUCUAGAAGAAUGAAUUGCCUCUUAUCAAACUUUGUGCAAGCAAAAACAAAAGAUGAACAUUAUUCUUACAAACUCUGGCUGGAGAUUCGUAAAAGACCAGAUUUAAUGAGACGAAUACCCAAGACUGAGACAAGUCCAAGUCCAAAUGUUGCAUGAAUCAUGUCCUACGGCUAGAAACUGUACAACAUACAAUAGAUUAUGUUCAACAUGGCUCAUAAAAUGUUCUCCUAAAAGUUCCUAGAACCAUGUUGCUCAGAAACUGUUCUCCUAAAAUCCUCAUAAACGUUCCUCGAUAAACAUGGUUUAUAAAAUGUUCUCCUAAAAUCCUCCUAAAACUUUCUAGAUCAACAUGGUUCAUAAAAUGUUCUCCUAAAUGUUCCUAGAACCAUGAUGCUCAUAAAAUGUUCUCCUAAAAGCCUUCUAAUAGUUUCUCAGUCAAUGUGGUUCAUGAAGCAUUCUCCUAAAAGUUCCUAGAUCAGCAUGGCUCAUAAAAUGUUCUCCUAAAAGUUCCUAGAACCGUGUUGCUCAUAAAAUGUUCCCCGAAAAUCCUCAUAAAACUUUCUAGAUCAACAGGGUUCAUAAAAUGUUCCUAGAACCACGAUGCUCAUAAAAUGCUCUCCUAAAAGCCUCCUAAAAGUCUCUAGAUCCUUGUGGUUCACGAACCAUUCCCCUAAAAGUACCUAAAUCAACGUGGUUCAUAAAAUGUUCUCCUAAAAAUUUCUAGAUCAACAAGGUUCAUGAAAUAUUCUCCUAGACGUUUUUAGAACCACGCCAUUCAGCAAAACUUCUGUGAAUUCCUAGAUCCAAACUGUUCGUGUUCUCCUAAAGUUCUCCUUAAAGUUCUUUUGCAUCUCCGCCGAUGUUUUUUUGGUUCGUUUAAUCAUGUGCGGCGUGAAACCAAACCCAACCUUUAGCCAAACGAAG